UUUUGUUUUUCAGCUCACUUCAAGGGUACCUGAAGCGAAUUGGCACCAAAGCAGCAGCUGUAUUGCCGCAGUUCUAGCUUCACCUUCACGAUGUUUCCCUUGGUCAAAAGCGCACUAAAUCGUCUCCAAGGUAGCAACACAAGUCGGAAUAGAAUGGAACCUGUCCCCUGUUGGCAGAGUUACCCCAAAGGAAUGGAGGAAUCAGUAAUCAUCCCAGCUGGUGUAAUAAUGAAUUGUUUAAAAAACAGCUCAUAAUUGAUGCCAAAUUAAAGCACUGUGUACCCAUUAAGAUAUGGCAUUAUUGAAGAAAUAAAGUACAUUUGAAACCUUC
rnacentral:lncRNA from 1 species